UACGGAAGGGGCAAGCGUUGUUCGGAAUCAUUGGGCGUAAAGGGCGCGUAGGUGGUUCUGUAUGUCUACCGUGAAAGCAUACAGCUCAACUGUAUUUUGUCGGUAGAAACUGCAGGACUUGAGGCUGGGAGGGGCUGGUGGAAUUCCCUGUGUAGCGGUGAAAUGCGUAGAGAUCGGCAGGAACACCCGUGGCGAAAGCGGCCACCUAGCCCAUACCUGACGCUGAUGUGCGACAGCGUGGGGAGCGAACUGG
rnacentral:rRNA from 1 species